GGGAAACCGAGGCAGGCAUUGAUGUGACUUGCCCAAGACCACACACAGCAAGUCGAUGUGGCAGGGCUGGGAUAAGAGCACACUUCCUAUCUCCCAGCCUGAGGGUCAUUCCAGUGCACCACAAUGACUUUCAUAGUAAAAUGAUGGACUCCGUGGGGGCUAUGCAUAGUCAGAAUUCUGGAAAGCCAGCUGUAAACAAUGAAACCUAACGGUGCAGUCCUCAACCCAGCUGCUGUACUCAUGGGUCCUGAUCCUGCGGGUGCAAGAACAAACCGUGCUAAAAGGGAGACUAACUCGUUCAUGGAAUUGUUGAAUUUAAGACCAGAUCAUCUAGUUUGACCUCUUCUGUCACAGGCCACCACACCAUCCAGCCACCCACACACUAAACCCGCCAACUGAAAUUAGACCAAAGUAUUUACAAUGCUUGGAAGACUAAGGUGUUGUGUGAAUUAACUUACCUGAGAGGGGAAACUGAAUCUGACUAGACACAGGUUAUGUCUAUGCUUCAAGCUGAGGAUGUGAUUCCUGGCUCAAGUAGACACACCCAUGCUAGCUCUGAUCAAGCUAGCACACUAAAAAUAGAACGUAGCUGCAGUGGUUCAAGCUACAGGAGGAGUGAGCUGAUUGAGUAUAGCUAGGACAGGGACAUACUCUGGUGGCUAGCCCCUCCCAUUGAGAGACUGCCAUCAUGAGAAAUCAGGAAGACAGAGCAGGGGAAAAGGUGAACACAGAGUGGAUGGGUGGAACAAAGGCAGGGACCAGUGUCACUGAGGACUGGGGAAGGAUCUGAGGAACAGCUUGGCUUGAGGCUUGGUGAGAGAAGGGAAUGUCUGCAGGGAGACAGGGACUAACGUGAGGCAGUUGGGGAACCUGGAGUUAGAGAAGAAACUGAGGAGUGAACUGGAGGUAGACAGUGGAGCUGGGGAAGGAGUAAGUUGGGGUAGAGUGAGGAAGAAAUAAGAGUCUGGGAUCAGGAGAGACGAGUUGAGGGAUGGAGAAGUAGGACGAGGCAGGGAAUUGGGAAGCUUGCAUGGGUAGUAAAUUGUCUGGAAUGGUGUGUGGAGAGAAUGAUUUGUAGGGAGAGAAUGGACUGUGGGAGAACUGAAUUUGUGUGCUGGUGAAGUGAUGGAGUGUAGGGUUGGCAUGGGUUUGUUUUCUGGAUACUGUGGUGUUGCAAGCUGGAUUGUGAUUGCAGUUGGGAGAGUAGCUGGUCCUGCAAGGUGGGUCAGUGAUGAGCAAGAAGAUAGAGUCAUGUAAAAACAUGCACUUGGAGAGAGAUUGAAAAGACUGGAACUAAAUGGUGGUCAACACAAUGGAAAAGUUUGGAGCCCCUGCUCUAAUGAGUCUUCCAUAUUACCUCUCCUACCUAUAUGUGUUUACUGUUACCCGAUGUUUCCUGGUAGGAGCAAUAUAAACAGGAAUCCAUUUGCACUGUACAACCAAGACUUUAUUGGUCCUACUAACUUAUGAACAUAACAGUUGAUUGUGCUAUACGUACCUCGCUACUGUCUACAUACAGUCACAUAUCUCUACAUCUCUCUCUGUCUCUCGGGUAUACAACUCUUGUAACAGCUCCCAAACUGUGAUCCGUAGAUAACUGUGCAUUCUAAUGUGCAGUGGAGCUCAGGGUGCAGCCAGAAGCAUUCAAGAUUACUCAAAACUGGUCUUUGGUGUAGCUCUACAAGCUCCAUUGUGAGUCAGACUGUAGCUCUGUACUGGGGCUCAUCAUGGAAGCUGGUCUCUGAGUUCUUCAUUAAGGGAUCAGUUCUGCAAAUUGCUGAGUGCCAUUACUUCCCUUGGACUUCAGUGCGAGUUGAUGACACUCAGCACUCUGCAGGAGCAAGUCCAAAGGGCCUAGCCCUGCCAGGUGCUAAAUGCCUCUUGUAGGUUGCCUAGUGCCCUCAAUUUCCUUGGGAACAGAAGACAUAUAGACUCAUAGACUUUAAGGCCUGAAGGAACCAUCAUGAUCAUCUAGUCUGACCUCCUGCACAUUGUAAAUCACAGAACUUCACCCACCCACUCCUGUGGUAGGUCUGUAAUCUCUGGCUGAGUUACCGAAGUCCUCAAAUCUUGACUGAAAGACUUCAAGUUACAGAGAAUCUACUAUUUACUCUAGUUCAAACCAUCAAGUGAUCCAUGCCCUAUACUGCAGAGGAAAGUAAAAACAAACAAACAAAAAAUUCCCAGGGUCUCUGCUAAUCUGACCUGAGGGGAAAUUUCUUCCCGACCCCAAUAUAGUGAUCAGUUAGUCCCUGUGUGUGCGGCCAAGACCCCUCAGCCAGGUCCCAUCUCUGGCCACUGAAAAUAUUUGCUAAUAUAAGUCACAGAUGGGCCAUGUGCCAUUGUAGGCAGUAUCAUCAGAACAUCCCCUGCACAAACUUAGCAAGUUCAGUCUUGAAUUAGGUUUUGCCCCACUGCUCCCCUUGGAAGGCUGUUCCAGGACUUCACUCCUUUAAUUAGAAACCUUUCUCUAAUUUCAAGCCUAAACUUAUUGGUGAUCAGUUCAUAGGUUCCGACUCCAUGGGUGCUCCAAGACUGGAGCACUCAUGGAAAAAAUUAGCAAGUGCUUAGUACCCACUGGCAGCCACCUCCCCACUCCCCACCCCCAGCACCUCCCGCCUGCUGUGGAACAGCUGUUUCACAGCAUGCAGGAGGCGCUGGGGAGGGGGAGCAGGGAUGGGGUGCAGUUGGGAGAGAAGGCAGGACUGUGUGGGAAGAGGCAGGGUGGGGUAGAGCAGGGGCAGGAAGAAUCAGGUUUGAGGGAAGGUAUGGAAUGAGGCAGAGUCUGGGCUGAGCAGGGGUUGAACACCCCUGGGGAAAGUUGGAAGCUGAAGCCUGCGAUCCAGUUUCUAUCUAUUUGUUCUUGUGACAAUUUUGGCCCUUAACUUAAAUAAUUCCUCUCUAUCCUUGGUAUUUAUCCCUCUGAUAUGUUUAUAGAGAGCAAUCAUAUCUCCCCUCAGCCUUCAUUUUGUUAG